rnacentral:rRNA from 1 species
AGUCAUAUGCUUGUCUCAAAGAUUAAGCCAUGCAUGUCUCAGUACAAGCCAAAUUAAGGUGAAACCGCGAAAGGCUCAUUAAAUCAGUUAUGGUUCCUUAGAUCGUACCCACAUUUACUUGGAUAACUGUGGUAAUUCUAGAGCUAAUACAUGCAAACAGAGCUCCGACCGGAGACGGAAGGAGCGCUUUUAUUAGAUCAAAACCAAUCGGCGGCGGGUUCGCUCGUCGUCGUACAACCUGGUGAAUCUGAAUAACUUUCUGCUGAUCGCAUGGUCUCGCACCGGCGACGCAUCUUUCAAAUGUCUGCCUUAUCAACUGUCGAUGGUAGGUUCUGCGCCUACCAUGGUUGUAACGGGUAACGGGGAAUCAGGGUUCGAUUCCGGAGAGGGAGCCUGAGAAACGGCUACCACAUCCAAGGAAGGCAGCAGGCGCGCAAAUUACCCACUCCCGGCACGGGGAGGUAGUGACGAAAAAUAACGAUACGGGACUCAUCCGAGGCCCCGUAAUCGGAAUGAGAACACUCUAAACCCUUUAACGAGGAUCAAUUGGAGGGCAAGUCUGGUGCCAGCAGCCGCGGUAAUUCCAGCUCCAAUAGCGUAU